rnacentral:lncRNA from 10 species
GAGCUCUAUGAAUGUUUAGACUAGCUCUGUGCCCAGGAAUGUAAGAAUGGUUUGUAACAGAGACCCUGUCAAGCCUGAAACAUGAUAUCUCAUUUUACUAGUAGCUAGUACUCAGGGGGAUGGGAGUUAGUACUGUAUUUAUUCCAGAAUCUUGUUGAUGUGCUACCUCUUCUCCAUUACAUUGGGCCUGAUUUUUUUUUUUUUUUUUUUCAAAAUAACGUCUUUGCAACGUGAAAGGUAUUUUCUAUUUCACACACAUGAAAACCCCUUUGCUUCCUCAAG